rnacentral:rRNA from 1 species
UACGUAGGGUGCGAGCGUUAAUCGGAAUUACUGGGCGUAAAGCGUGCGCAGGCGGUUCGUUGUGUCGGCGGUGAAAGCCCCGGGCUUAACCCGGGAAUGGCCGUUGAAACUGGCGAACUGGAGUGUGGCAGAGGGGGGUGGAAUUCCGCGUGUAGCAGUGAAAUGCGUAGAGAUGCGGAGGAACACCGAUGGCGAAGGCAGCCCCCUGGGCUGACACUGACGCUCAGGCACGAAAGCGUGGGGAGCAAACAGG